rnacentral:rRNA from 1 species
AUGAACGCUGGCGGCGUGCCUAACACAUGCAAGUCGAACGGAGCUGCUUUGAUGAAGUUUUCGGAUGGAUUUAAAACAGCUUAGUGGCGGACGGGUGAGUAACGCGUGGGUAACCUGCCUCACACUGGGGGAUAACAGUUAGAAAUAGCUGCUAAUACCGCAUAAGCGCACGGUUCCGCAUGGAACAGUGUGAAAAACUCCGGUGGUGUGAGAUGGACCCGCGUCUGAUUAGCCAGUUGGCGGGGUAACGGCCCACCAAAGCGACGAUCAGUAGCCGGCCUGAGAGGGUGAACGGCCACAUUGGGACUGAGACACGGCCCAAACUCCUACGGGAGGCAGCAGUGGGGAAUAUUGCACAAUGGGGGAAACCCUGAUGCAGCGACGCCGCGUGAGUGAAGAAGUAUUUCGGUAUGUAAAGCUCUAUCAGCAGGGAAGAAAGUGACGGUACCUGAAUAAGAAGCCCCGGCUAACUACGUGCCAGCAGCCGCGGUAAUACGUAGGGGGCAAGCGUUAUCCGGAUUUACUGGGUGUAAAGGGAGCGUAGACGGCAAGGCAAGUCUGAAGUGAAAGCCCGGUGCUUAACGCCGGGACUGCUUUGGAAACUGUUUAGCUGGAGUGCCGGAGAGGUAAGCGGAAUUCCUAGUGUAGCGGUGAAAUGCGUAGAUAUUAGGAAGAACACCAGUGGCGAAGGCGGCUUACUGGACGGUAACUGACGUUGAGGCUCGAAAGCGUGGGGAGCAAACAGGAUUAGAUACCCUGGUAGUCCACGCCGUAAACGAUGAGUACUAAGUGUUGGGGGUCAAACCUCAGUGCUGCAGUUAACGCAAUAAGUACUCCGCCUGAGUAGUACGUUCGCAAGAAUGAAACUCAAAGGAAUUGACGGGGGCCCGCACAAGCGGUGGAGCAUGUGGUUUAAUUCGAAGCAACGCGAAGAACCUUACCAGGUCUUGACAUCGAUCUAAAGGCUCCAGAGAUGGAGAGAUAGCUAUAGAGAAGACAGGUGGUGCAUGGUUGUCGUCAGCUCGUGUCGUGAGAUGUUGGGUUAAGUCCCGCAACGAGCGCAACCCUUAUUGCCAGUUACUACGCAAGAGGACUCUGGCGAGACUGCCGUUGACAAAACGGAGGAAGGUGGGGAUGACGUCAAAUCAUCAUGCCCCUUAUGAUCUGGGCUACACACGUGCUACAAUGGCGUAACAAAGGGAAGCGAGCCUGCGAGGGUGAGCGAAUCCCAAAAAUAACGUCCCAGUUCGGACUGUAGUCUGCAACCCGACUACACGAAGCUGGAAUCGCUAGUAAUCGCGAAUCAGAAUGUCGCGGUGAAUACGUUCCCGGGUCUUGUACACACCGCCCGUCACACCAUGGGAGUCGGAAAUGCCCGAAGUCUGUGACUCAACCGCAAGGAGAGAGCAGCCGAAGGCAGGUCUGAUAACUGGGGUG